rnacentral:lncRNA from 1 species
CCUCUGAAAAAAAUUAUUUUUAAAAAUUACUCCAGUAAAUUUAUAUUUGUAAAAAUGGCCAUACCCUAUCACGCAAGCGCCACGCGGGCAGGACUGGGGGCGAUAGUUAAGUUAAACACGGUGAACCAUUCACAAUGUCUAAACACGGUGAACCAUUUACAGUGUCUCACCGUGUUUAGAGCUAAUACGUAUUUUUUGCAAUAUAAAUAUUGAAGAGAGAAAUAGGGAGUAGAAAUGUCAAUAGGUAUGGAUAUCCGAAAUAUUAUUCGAACCCAAACCUGAAUAAAUUAUAUAUAUACAUAAUUUAUUUUUAUUUAUUUAUUUAAUAUAUAAAAUAUUUAAUAAUUUUUAUUUCUUAGAUCUUUAUUCAACAGUAUAUAUUUUUAAAACCUGCUGAGUUCAGGUUCGGGUUUCGAGUUUUUGGUCGGAUAUGGAUAUGGGUAUGAAUUUUUAAAAUCCGUCGGGUUUGGAUUUUAAUUUGAUUUUCGGGUUCGAAUUUGGAUUUUGAAAAAAGAAAAAAAAAAGGAAUAUAAAUAUGAAAUAAGGUGAACCAUUCGUGUUUGAAUACGGUAAAUGAUUUACCGUGUUCAACUUAACACACUGACCCCGGCCCUGCUCGCGUGGCGCUGACGUGGCGCCUACGUGGCAGGCCUAGGACUAUUUUUGCAAAUUAAAUUUUGAUAGGGCUAUUUUUAAAAUAAAAAUUUGCCGGGGGCUAAAUGCAAAAAAAACCCUUUAUCCCUGGAAAAUAAAAGUCUAGAAAUAAAGAGACAUAUAAUAUA